rnacentral:rRNA from 1 species
AUUGAACGCUGGCGGCAUGCCUUACACAUGCAAGUCGAACGGCAGCAUGGGGCAACCUGGUGGCGAGUGGCGAACGGGUGAGUAAUGCAUCGGAACGUACCUUUCAGUGGGGGAUAACGUAGCGAAAGUUACGCUAAUACCGCAUAUUCUGUGAGCAGGAAAGCAGGGGAUCGCAGGACCUUGCGCUGAUUGAGCGGCCGAUGUCAGAUUAGCUAGUUGGUGAGGUAAAGGCUCACCAAGGCGACGAUCUGUAGCGGGUCUGAGAGGAUGAUCCGCCACACUGGAACUGAGACACGGUCCAGACUCCUACGGGAGGCAGCAGUGGGGAAUUUUGGACAAUGGGGGCAACCCUGAUCCAGCCAUGCCGCGUGAGUGAAGAAGGCCUUCGGGUUGUAAAGCUCUUUCGGCCGGGAAGAAAUCGCACGGGCUAAUACCCUGUGUGGAUGACGGUACCGGAAUAAGAAGCACCGGCUAACUACGUGCCAGCCGCCGCGGUAAAAC